UACGGAGGGUGCAAGCGCUAUCCGGAUUCACUGGGCUUAAAGGGUGCGUAGGCGGAUUGGUAAGUCCGUGGUGAAAUCCCCGAGCUUAACUUGGGAACUGCCGUGGAUACUAUCAGUCUUGAAUAUCGUGGAGGUAAGCGGAAUAUGUCAUGUAGCGGUGAAAUGCUUAGAUAUGACAUAGAACACCAAUUGCGUAGGCAGCUUACUACUCGAUCAUUGACGCUGAGGCACGAAAGCGUGGGGAGCAAACAGG
rnacentral:rRNA from 1 species